AUUGAACGCUGGCGGCAGGCUUAACACAUGCAAGUCGAACGAGUGGCGGACGGGUGAGUAAUGCUUGGGAAUCUAGCUUAUGGAGGGGGAUAACUACGGGAAACUGUCGCUAAUACCGCGUACCAUAGGUUUAGCCCAUGUGGGAUUAGGUAGUUGGUGUGGGAAAGGCUCACAAAGCCGACGAUCUCUAGCUGGUCCGAGAGGCUGACCAGCCACACGGGGACUGGGAAACGGCCCAGACUCCUACGGGAGGCAGCAGUGGGGAAUAUUGCGAAAUGGGGGAAACCUGACGCAGCCAUGCCGCGUGAAUGAAGAAGGCCUUCGGGUUGUAAAGUUCUUUCGGUAGCGAGGCGUUAACUACAGAAGAAGCACCGGCUAACUCCGUGCCAGCAGCCGCGGUAAUAC
rnacentral:rRNA from 1 species